rnacentral:rRNA from 1 species
UACGUAGGUGGCAAGCGUUGUUCGGAAUUACUGGGUGUAAAGGGCGUGUAGGCGGGAUAGCAAGUCAGAUGUGAAAUUCCGGGGCUUAACCCCGGCGCUGCAUCUGAAACUGUUAUUCUUGAGUGUCGGAGAGGAAAGUGGAAUUCCAAGUGUAGCGGUGAAAUGCGUAGAGAUUGGGAGGAACACCAGUGGCGAAGGCGGCUUUCUGGACGAUAACUGACGCUGAGGCGCGAAAGCGUGGGGAGCAAACAGG